rnacentral:lncRNA from 1 species
UUCCUGUAUUUUAGUCAGUUGAGUUAAUGAAUAUCAGACCUACUCAGGUAUCAGGCUAAAGUUUAAAACAGGCGAGUAGGGACUGAACUGAUAAAAAGCCUCUGUGUGCUGAUUUUCUAGGCUCCAGUUUGAAGUGAUUUCCAGGUCUUCUGCGUAUUCCUAAAUCAGAAAGAAAAAGAUGAGACUUUAUGCUUAUGUGAGUGCAUGCUUGUACAAUUGUUUAGUUUGCAAAGGGCUAUUCUUUUCAAACCUCUAUUCAUGGCUGUCUUUGCCAAGAUAUUACCUCAUGACUAUUUUCAUUUGCAGAACCGCUGUCGCUGAAAUCUACGUAGAUUGGUGUCUCUGGCUCAGAAUCAAGCAAUAUAUCUUUG